rnacentral:rRNA from 1 species
AUUGAACGCUGGCGGCAGGCCUAACACAUGCAAGUAGAGCGGAGCGGAGGACGGGUGAGUAAUGCCUAGGAAUCUGCCUGGUAGUGGGGGAUAACGUCCGGAAACGGGCGCUAAUACCGCAUACUAUCAGAUGAGCCGAGGUCGGAUUAGCUAGUUGGUGGGGUAAAGGCUUACAAAGGCGACGAUCCGUAACUGGUCUGAGAGGAUGAUCAGUCACACUGGAACUGAGACACGGUCCAGACUCCUACGGGAGGCAGAAGUGGGGAAGAGUGGACAAUGGGCGACAUCCUGAUCCAGCAAUGCCGCGUGUGUGAAGAAGGUCUUCGGAUUGGAAAGCACUUUAAGUUGGGAGGCGUUACCAACAGAAUAAGCACCGGCUAACUUCGUGCCAGCAGCCGCGGUAAUUC